rnacentral:rRNA from 1 species
AGAGUUUGAUCCUGGCUCAGGAUGAACGCUGGCGGCGUGCUUAACACAUGCAAGUCGAACGAACCUUCGGGUUAGUGGCGGACGGGUGAGUAACGCGUGGGAAUCUGCCCUCAGGAGGGGGAUAACGGCUGGAAACGGCCGCUAAUACCCCAUAUGCCGAGAGGUGAAAAGAAAUUCGCCUGAGGAUGAGCCCGCGUCUGAUUAGCUAGUUGGUGGGGUAAGAGCUCACCAAGGCCACGAUCAGUAGCUGGUCUGAGAGGAUGAUCAGCCACACUGUGACUGAGACACGGCCCAGACUCCUACGGGAGGCAGCAGUGGGGAAUUUUCCGCAAUGGGCGAAAGCCUGACGGAGCAACGCCGCGUGAGGGAUGAAGGCCUCUGGGCUGUAAACCUCUUUUCUCAAGGAAGAAGACAUGACGGUACUUGAGGAAUAAGCCACGGCUAAUUCCGUGCCAGCAGCCGCGGUAAUACGGGAGUGGCAAGCGUUAUCCGGAAUUAUUGGGCGUAAAGCGUCCGCAGGCGGCCCUGUAAGUCUGUCGUUAAAGCGUGGAGCUUAACUCCAUUUAAGCGAUGGAAACUACAGGGCUUGAGUGUGGUAGGGGCAGAGGGAAUUCCCGGUGUAGCGGUGAAAUGCGUAGAUAUCGGGAAGAACACCAGUGGCGAAGGCGCUCUGCUGGGCCAUAACUGACGCUCAUGGACGAAAGCCAGGGGAGCGAAAGGGAUUAGAUACCCCUGUAGUCCUGGCCGUAAACGAUGAACACUAGGUGUCGGGGGGAUCGACCCCCUCGGUGUCGUAGCCAACGCGUUAAGUGUUCCGCCUGGGGAGUACGCACGCAAGUGUGAAACUCAAAGGAAUUGACGGGGGCCCGCACAAGCGGUGGAGUAUGUGGUUUAAUUCGAUGCAACGCGAAGAACCUUACCAGGGUUUGACAUCCUGCGAAUCCCUUGGAAACGAGGGAGUGCCUUCGGGAGCGCAGAGACAGGUGGUGCAUGGCUGUCGUCAGCUCGUGUCGUGAGAUGUUGGGUUAAGUCCCGCAACGAGCGCAACCCACGUCUUUAGUUGCCAGCAUUCAGUUGGGCACUCUAGAGAGACCGCCGGUGAUAAACCGGAGGAAGGUGUGGAUGACGUCAAGUCAUCAUGCCCCUUACAUCCUGGGCUACACACGUACUACAAUGCUACGGACAAAGGGCAGCAAGCUCGCGAGAGUUAGCAAAUCCCAUAAACCGUGGCUCAGUUCAGAUCGUAGGCUGCAACUCGCCUACGUGAAGGAGGAAUCGCUAGUAAUCGCAGGUCAGCAUACUGCGGUGAGUACGUUCCCGGGCCUUGUACACACCGCCCGUCACACCAUGGAAGUUGGCCAUGCCCGAAGUCGUUGCUCCAACCC